rnacentral:lncRNA from 1 species
UGAGGUCCCUUCCAACCCAACCAUUCUGUGAUUCUGUGAUUUCCACCAAGCCUGUGCCACAGGGAAAACACUACUUGGUGCAAGGAGUGCUGAAUAAUCCAACAGCAGUAACAAGAGAAGAAAUUGUACUGAAAUUGUCUGCCAGAUCUGUACGUCCAAACCAACACUGCUACAGGAAACUGCCUGAAGAGUUAAUCUGGCAAAAUUACACGGCAGUUAUUGCAGAUGUCCUCAGCAGAAGACAUAGGAGGGCUUGGUGAUAUCCCUGGGUGCAGAGACUGAGGAGGGAUGGAAAUCAGCCUUGGUCUGUGGGCUGUAAAUUGCUUUCACUGUUCUGCUCCUGAGACUGAGAACCCCAGCGCCUUCACUGCUUACAGAUAUCGAUGUGUUUUUCAGUUUGUUUAUUUCCAGGAAGUUUGAAGAUCACUUCAGCCGAGGCUGACUUUGCAGCAGCAGCUUUUAGCUUCCUGUCACUCUCUGGUACAGAAUCACAUAACACUCAGCUGUCAGAUGUGCUUUUUUCCUUAGUGAGCAGAACAGAGCUGGAAAGCUAUUGGAGUCUGACCCAAAUUCCUCUGUUCAUCCUUUUUUUUUGCAUAGAACAAGCCAUAGAAUUCCGUUGUUGGGUGCUGUAGACAAUAAAAGGCUUCACAAGCUGACUGGUAGAAGUUGAGAAAUACACUGAAAGCUGUUUGGUACAAAGAUGUAAAUUCUGCCUCCGAAGGUCUUUGAGCAGGAAGCUGCAGAGCAUUCAGGGGAAGCACUAACACACUUCCACUUGGCUGUGCAGCCCUUCAUAUCCAUCAGCUGUUUUCCAUUCUUAAGAAUCAGAUUUGCCUCGUGUCUCCUCACGCAGGUUUGUAUGGCUCUUCUCUUAAUGGACAAAAUGGGGAGAGCAGUGCCUGAACUCGUAAUGCCUGAGGCCAUGCACCAAGGCAGUUGUGUCUUAAGGCUGGAGAGAAUCUCCUCCCACCCCCCGGUGUUUUAGAUUGUUUUAAUCUAGAGUCCUUUAGAGUGUCUCAGAAGGCUGCUAAGAUGAGUAAUGUUCUAUUUGAGCUCUGCUGUCGCAGCAAAUCUGAGCAUGGAAGUUGGAGAGGAAUUUCCUCCAAGGUCACAUAGCCAUGCCUUCCAUUUGUUUCCCAUCUUUGGGCCCGGUUUGCAUGCUGGAACCAGACCAAUAGCUGCUGGAGUUUGAGUUCUGAUCUUCAGCUGUGGCUGGAGUUCAGUGUUGGUAGCACGUUGUUUGUGUGUAUUGAUUUUUAAGGACACCUCUUCUCCUGAAAGCCAAAUUUUCCAGUAGUAAAAUCCAAGCGAAGAUGCAUGUAGGGGUAAGCACUGAAUCUGAACGUGAGGAAUAAAUAAUGACAAACUCUGGUGGAAAUGGGAGAGAGACUGUGCUUGAUAGGUUCAAGAUGAGUACGGGAUGGAUGAUUUUUCACUGAAUAGAAACAUCUCUUGAAAGGAAGUACAGUCAGUUACAUUCAGGUUUGAAAUACUUGUUCCAAAAGGGAAUAAAGAAGUCAGCCAGGCUCUGCCAACUCAACGCCGCGGUGAAGGUGCAGUUGUGACUCCAAGCCCUGUGGCAGCUGUUGGAGGAGGUGCUUCCUCCAAGGGAAGGAACUUUGACACUGAUGGAGGUAUUGGGCUUCAGCGAUAUGGAAACCAAUAACGUUUCAGUUCUAGACACUUCAGAAUCAUGUCCAGUGAGUUUAGAAUUGCGUGAAUCAUCAAAUAUUCUCAAAUAUUAAUAUUUAAUUAAAACUUCAGCAAAUUUAUAUGAAAUCAGUCAUACUUUUGGUACAGAUUUUAACUUUCUCCAGUGGGAAAG